CGCACAGUGGCCUUCCCACAGACAGCCUGGGCGGGGGCAGGCCUGAGGGGCUGGCACAGAGCUGGCGACACCUACGUGGCCCGCCACUGCAUCCAGCACCGCGUCUCAGGGACCCUAUGAGAGCAGAGCCAGCCGCUCAGCACCCAGCCUCGGGGUCCCCACGAGAACACCAAGGUCGCUCAGCUCCCAGCUCCCCCGGGCCGGGUCCUCCUGGUGAGCGAGCCCGAGCCUGUGUGCGGCAGAGGCUUCCUCUUCCGAGUCCUGUUCAACUAAAGCAGAGGAUAGCGGCAAAGGAGCCGGUGCCCCUCACCCUGGCUCCGGUGCCCUGCUCAGUCACCACACCAAGUGCCUGCACUGCGGGAGGGGUGGCUGGCGGGGGACACCCCUGCCCGCAGCUCUGAGCCAAGGCCACUUCUCAACACCCACCUGGCUCCUGGGAGUGGCGGCUGGUGACAGCCUCUGCUACCAGUGGAGUCACACGAGGAGAGGCCACCGUGUGCUCGGAUCCAGAGCACGGAAACCCCAGCCUCCUGCAGCCAAAGCUCAUCCAGCAGUGAGCACGUGACUGGAGCACAUGCGUGUGGCUCGUGACAGCCACAUGCAGGGUGACCAGGGGCAAUCAGGACGGGCGAGAGCCAGCAGCUCCCAACUGACAUGGACACACAUUGGAGCUUCGUGUCUGUGCAGUCACCCAGGGUUGUGCACACAGGUGUCUGCAGCACAGUGCACUGCGAGAGGGCGCCUCCUGCAGGCGACGGCUCCACAGACUGACCACGCCACGGAGGAGGAGCUUUGGUGAAACCCACUCACACUGCAAGGAAAAGGGAACCUGAAAGCAACACCAGAAUAUUAUGAGAAACAAAUCUAUGUCGUGUUGCGCACACUUCACCUGUCAGCACUCGAGUGCAAGAUUAAAACACUGACGUGGA